GCGGGUGUAGUAUAACGGUUAGUAUACAACCUUGCCAAGGUUGAGGAGGGGGUUCAACUCCCCUCACCCGCU
rnacentral:tRNA from 1 species